rnacentral:lncRNA from 1 species
CGAAAACUGUUGAUGGCUCCUUCUUGGCCUCGCGUUUCAUGAGAGACUGGUAGAACUCAACCAGCUCAGGUGCUCGAUGGACCUUGUCGCCGCCGGGCGUCUUCGAUAGCCCACCGGGGGGAGGAGGAGGCCGCGGUGGAGGAGGCGGCGCGCCAGGACGUGGUGGCAACGGUGGAGGUGGUGGCACACCACUUGAACUGUUGGUGGAGCUCGGAGCACCACCACCAGAUGAUGGCUUCGGAGGCGGUCGGGGCACCCUCGGCGCCCUCUUCUCGAUCUGUGCAAGCUGCAUCUUGCUCACCACUGAGCUAUCGAUUUUGCUGCCGUUAGGUUGCUCACCUGGUUCAGUGGCUGCAGGUACCUUCUCCUUUAUCAGGGCAAGCUUUGGAGGCAAUGCUGCCUUCGUCCUCGACUCUGUGCAUGGAUUCAGAGCCGAGUUGUGGCUGAAACGUUCUGCUCGAGCUUGCUCGGCUUUCUCCUUGAUUUGCUUCUCUCUUUCCAUUGCCAGCUUAUGCCGGUCUUUGAACGCAGGAUACUUCUCUUCAGCCACUCCCUCCACCGACUUUGACAUCAAGUGGAAGGACGCAGCGACAUUGUUCAGCUGCUCAUCCGAGGAGACCUGCGUCCUAAUGCGCGGAAGAUUGGCUUCCUCCAAGAACUCAUUCGGGUCCUGCUCCUUCUUCCCGUAGGUGGUGAUGGCGACGCCAUCUCCGGCGUUUCUGAGCAUGAGCGUCUCCAAUGGCCCUCUCGAUCUCUGGCUGCUCCUCAUCGGGGAGCGGUCGCCCAGCGAGCGCGUCGGGGAGGAGGAGACGCUAGCGUCAUCCUUGCUCUUCCCCCACCUCCUCAGCUUCUGGAUCAGACCUUGCUUCUUGCUCACGGAGCUGAGCCUACUGGAGAAGCUGUCCACCGAGGCGUUGUCGAAGUCUUCACUUCCCGGAGAAGAAGGCAUGGAAGAGACGCUCUCCAUGUCAGUGUCGCCUUGUCCGCGCUCCGAUCCGGCGUACUCCAUCAGCAGCCGCUUGGCUUUCUCCUGAGACUUGGGGCUGAGGCUCUUGUUGAGAUCUCGAGCUGAGACUUUGCCGGAAGGUGUUUGGUGGUUCCGGAGCUCGUACCUCAGGCAUGCAUUGACCCACCUCAGGUAGACCAACUCCUCCACUUCACUGAACCUGUUCAUCUGUAGGCCUUCUACUUGCUUGGAUAAAUCUUCAUUCGCAUGCCUUAGAUUAUUAAUCUCCUGCCUGGCCUGAGCCACCAGUUCGGUCUGCACAUGCAAGAGGCAACAUGAUCAUAGUUUGAGGAGGAUAUCAUGACUUGAAAUAAUCUGCUUCUGAUAAAUCUUUCUUUUGAGAAAUACUAGUGUGAUAUCAACUCAUAAAACUUUGAGAUCAAAAGAACAAUCAAGAGAAUCAACAAUUAAACAUGAAUAAUUAUGUAAGAUUUGUUUUUGGCAUAUUUUAAUAUGACUCCAUUUAAUAAAAAAACUUCUACAUAAACUGAAUCCAAGCACAAACUUUCUAUACACCAUUUUAUAAAAAAAAUAAUAAUAAUAAUUUUCUCUUUUAGUCUCUCUAAAUCAGAUAUAUAAAUCCUCCUCCUACACAAAACUUGACAUGCCUAAAUUAUUUUAUAGAGCAUCCAAUCUUUAAUUUUCAAAUAUUUCUUUCAUUUAUAUAGAAAUAUUUUUUAUAUUUGUAUAUAUUUCCUCCAAAAAGCCUGAUUCUAAUUAAGAAAUAAAAAGAUGCUUUUCAAACCUAACAAAUCAUAACCUUUCAACACCAGCCACCUGCAUUAUUAUUUGCUCAUUGUAAAGAUUUUGAACUUUAUCAAUAGCAGAAAGUAUAAAUAAUAGUUCCAGGACCCACUUACAAAAGACAAAUCCAAGAUAAGUUUGUCGUAGCAAAACAUAGAAUGUGGAUAAAGCAUAGCCACAGGCAUGGCACUCCUACAGCCACAACGUUUCUUCCAUCUCAUGAACACAAGAAGGAGCACAAAGGGCAAUCUUUUGAAGCCAGCAUUGAAUCCAACAUACCUCUGUCAUGUUGGAAAGAGCAGCCGCUUUGGAUUCAGCUGCAUCCAGCUUCACGACCAGCUCUCUCUUCUCAUGUUGCAGUUCCUUGUUCUUCCUCCUCAGUUCCAGAACCUCCACCUCCAAAUCCUUCACAGCCUUGAGCCUCUUCUCCACUUCCACCUCCUUCUUCGCAGCCUCCUCCUCCUUCGCCUGGAGGCUGGUCACCUGCUGCUUCAGCAGCAGCAGCUGCCCCUUGGUCUGGCUUGCAGCCUGCUGAAUCUGCCGCUGCAGUUCCCUGAUCUUGCUCCUCGCCACCUCCAGUUCCUUCUUUGCCGAGACGCCCUGCGCGACCUCGUCUUGG